rnacentral:rRNA from 1 species
UACGGGGGGGGCAAGCGUUGUUCGGAAUUACUGGGCGUAAAGGGCUUGUAGGUGGCCAACUAAGUCAGACGUGAAAUCCCUCAGCUUAACUGGGGAACUGCGUCUGAUACUGGAUGGCUUGAGUUUGGGAGAGGGAUGCGGAAUUCCAGGUGUAGCGGUGAAAUGCGUAGACAUCUGGAGGAACACCGGUGGCGAAGGCGGCAUCCUGGACCAACACUGACACUGAGGAGCGAAAGCCAGGGGAGCAAACGGG